rnacentral:rRNA from 1 species
AAUUAUGAGAGUUUGAUCCUGGCUCAGGACGAACGCUGGCGGCGUGCCUAAUACAUGCAAGUCGAACGCACUGACGG